ACCUGAUUUGUCCAACCAGAAUAAAGACGGGUUCAUCGGGUCAAAGUUUAAUAUCGGGUUUAGAGAUGGGGAACCCGUCGAAACCGUGAAACCAUCGAAACCUCUGUGAAUCUCUUCUCCCCACUGCGAAACCCUAACCACUGUCGGCCUCUUAAGCUUUUCUCCACUUCAUUUCAGUCCGUUAGUCUUCACGUUGAGCACCACCAACACCUUGCCAUCGGUAAAUAAUAUUCAGGUUAAUCUUUAGAUCCUGCUGUCAUCUACAUGGGUAUUUGAAGACUUCAAAUCUGCUAUUUCAAAGGAUUUUUCUCCACCAAUAUCAGAUGUCAACUUAAAGGACUGUGUUUUAUGGGGGGCAGCACAAGCGCACAGGACCAGGAGCUAGCUUUUGCAGGGAGAGUGUCAUGGUCCAGGGAACUUACUGAUGAGGAAGCCAAGCCUUUUAUUUCAGCUUCAUUGAUGGGUCUGAAUGGAUUAAGUUGUAAUUGAUCCAUAAUUUUUGUUUUUGUUUUUUUUUGUUUUUUACGAUUAUUGAUCAUCUUUGUAAAAGUCUUGAUAUUUUAUAAUUUAGAAGUGGAAGUUAUAUAGUUUUUUGAUAA